rnacentral:rRNA from 1 species
AGUGAACGCUGGCGGCAUGCUUUACACAUGCAAGUCGAACGGUAACAGGCCGCAAGGUGCUGACGAGUGGCGAACGGGUGAGUAAUGCAUCGGAACGUGCCCAGUCGUGGGGGAUAACGCAGCGAAAGCUGUGCUAAUACCGCAUACGAUCUAUGGAUGAAAGCGGGGGACCGUAAGGCCUCGCGCGAUUGGAGCGGCCGAUGUCAGAUUAGGUAGUUGGUGGGGUGAAGGCUCACCAAGCCAACGAUCUGUAGCUGGUCUGAGAGGACGACCAGCCACACUGGGACUGAGACACGGCCCAGACUCCUACGGGAGGCAGCAGUGGGGAAUUUUGGACAAUGGGCGCAAGCCUGAUCCAGCAAUGCCGCGUGCAGGAAGAAGGCCUUCGGGUUGUAAACUGCUUUUGUACGGAACGAAACGGUCCUGGUUAAUACCCGGGGCUAAUGACGGUACCGUAAGAAUAAGCACCGGCUAACUACGUGCCAGCCGCCGCCGUAAAAC